GGCGUAAAGGGCGGUGCUCGCAGGACGUCUGCCUCCUGCGCCGUGCACGGCCAAGCGUAGGGUGGUUCUAGGGACCCAUGUGCCGCACCCCCGACCCCCGCUGGGGCAGGGAACCACACCGGAGCUUCCUGGCCAGGACCGUCCCCAAGCUUGACCUGCACGUCCCCAGCUCCCUUGUACCCAGGACCCCUGAUAUGAGGCCUCGAGGCCUUCUGGUUGGAAGGAACAGCGCGUGCAGAGGCGUGCGCCAGAAUCCAGGAGUCCUCGAUGACACCCUACUUUCAAGCCAUGAAUUUCUCAGAUUUGGUGCUCCAAAAGGGACCUGAAGGUAGAAGGACUCUAAGAAGUAAAGAAAAUUUUUCAAGUGUCAGAGGGACCAAAGGGAUUUCUGGUCGGAGUAACUCGACCUUCGGGAUUCAGCACGGGAUAUUUACUGAAUCUCUCUAUGGACCAGUCACUGUGCGAAGUACCGGAACACAGAAACAGAAUCAAUCAAACAUGGCC